rnacentral:snoRNA from 1 species
AUGCAAGGACGAGAAUUAGGUUUUUUAAACAUUACAUCCAACUGUAAUGUUUUAUGAAAAUACUAUAAAUUAACCAAUUGUUCCUACUGA